ensembl:lncRNA
AUGGCAAGUGGCAGGCCAGUUUUAGACAGUCUUGAGGAGUUUGACUCGUCAGACUCCGGUAGCAUUUAUGAACCACAGAUAAAUGCCAGAAAGAAGAAACAGAAAACAACAUCUGGGCCACAGCCCAAAAAAUCCAGGCGUAAUGCUACAGCGAGGGGGACGCCCAGCGUCAGCAGCAGCACAAACCCCAGCCCUGGAGAGCCAUCCCCCCAGGGGCAGGCACAUUACCAGGCCAGAUCCAGAUCUAUACCUGAGAGAAACACCAAUGAAAGGAACCAAGGGAUCCGUGCAAAGGAGAUCUAUGAUGCUGUCUGCUCUGGAAAGGCUGCCAUAGUGACAGUGGUGGACGAGUGGCUGGACAGCUACAAGCAGAGCAGAGAGGGGGGGCUGCUGGUCCUCAUCAACUUCAUUGUUCAGUCCUGCGGAUGCAAAGGUGUGGUCACUAGAGAGAUGUUUGACAGCAUGCAGAAUGCCGAGAUCAUCAGCACUCUUACAAAGGAGUUCAAUGAGACUUCGGGGAACUACCCUCUCAGCACUCCAGGCCCUCAGAUGAAGCAUUUCAAAGCCGGUCUCUCCGAGUUUUCCCGGGUUCUUAUGCGCUCCUGUCGUAACAGCAUCAUUUAUGACGAGUACAUCUUCCCUUCCCUGCUGGCUCUGCUCACCGGGCUGUCGGACUCCCAGGUCCGGGCCUUCAGGCACACCAGCACGCUCCUGGCUUUGAAGGUGAUGACGGGGCUGGUGGAGGUGGCUGUCUCAGUCUCCGUUCAGCUGCAAACCACCCAGCGGCAAAUCGACACGGAAAAGAGCAAGAACCCUCAAAUCCGAGCCUCGGACAAACUGGAGGAGCUGCACGCCACCAUCAGCGAGCUGAAAGAGAACAGAGAAGAAGUGUGCUCCAUGAUGAACGCCACCUUUCGUGGCGUGUUUGUGCACCGGUAUCGAGACCUGCUGCCUGAUAUCAGAGCCAUCUGCAUCGAAGAGCUGGGGGUUUGGCUGAACAAAGACCCAGAGGACUUUCUCAAUGAUGGAUGUCUGAAGUAUUUGGGUUGGACCCUGUUUGAUAAGCAAAGUGCAGUGCGUCUGCAGUGUGUGCGCGCCCUGCAGGGUCUGUACAAGGAGAAGGAGUUCAUUGGUCGCCUGGAGCUUUUCACCAGCAGAUUCAAAGAAAGGAUGCUGUCUAUGGUGCUGGACAAAGAGCCAGAUGUGGCUGUGGAAGCGGUGAAUCUGCUGCUGCUGAUUCAACUAAUGACUGAGGAAGGCUUAAGCGAGGAGGAGUGUGGUCGCAUCUACCCCUUAGUAUACGCUGCUCAUCGGGGCCUGGCGUCUGCUGGGGGGGCUUUCCUCUACAACAAGUUUCAAAGCCUGAUUGUAAAGCAGUUCCUAAGCAAACAGCUGGAUAGAAGUGUGUGUUUGCAGUUCCAUGAGCAUGGGGCAUACCUGGUGGACAGCCUGUGGAGCGUGGCCGGAUCCGAGCUGAGGGACUGGGAAACUAUGAGCGCUUUGCUGCUGCAGGAUGCUGGUCUGAUGUAUGAGGAGGAGGGGGUGCUCUUAGAGCUCAUGAUGUGUGCAGUCAGACAGGCAGCGCAGGGAACCCCACCUGUAGGGAGAAGUCACGCUAGAAAGAUUGCGAGUAUGAAAGAAAAGAAGGUCCAAGAGCAGGACAGGAAUCGCAUCACAACACACUUCAUCCCCAUUCUGCCACAGCUGCUCGCCAAGUACUCGGCAGAUGCUAAGAAGGUCAGCCUCCUUCUCAAAGCGCCUCUUUACUUUGAUCUGGAGAUGUACAGCAGCACUCAGUGGCUGAAAAAGUAUCUAGACCUGCUGCUGUCCCAGGUGUGUGGCGUAGUGGAGAAGCACACUGACGGCACCGUGCUGCAGGCUUGUGCCCAGCUGGCCAACACCCUGUGCUCAGAAAACUACACCUUCUCUUCCCGGGCACAUCUGGCUUUCAGCCAGCUCCUGGACGACCUGGUGGAAUGUUUCAACUCAUAUUUCGCCGAAAUAUUGCAGGUUGGAGUCCAAUCAGGGAGCUUUUCUAAGAUGUGUUGGUGUGCUCUGACAUACUGCAUAGCAUGUGAACCAAAUGACCUAAAGUCUGAAGAAGAAUCCACCGCCUUUGAGCUGCUGUGUGACCUGCUGCUGUUGUACAGCCAGGCUUCAGUCCGUUCAGAACCUGCGCUCCAGCCGCUGGUCCACCUGCCGUCUGUGUCUCUGUGCUCCGAGUUGGCGUCGUUCCUGCUGGACCACGUCUUCACUGAGGAGGAAGACCUUUCACUCAGUGCUGACAAAGUGACGGAUGAAAGACGCUCAGAGGUCCUUUUGAAGAGGCGCAGGCAGCUAGCCGGCUACUGUAAGCUAGUUCUGUACGGAGUCCUGGACCUGUCUGCUGCCACCAACGUCUUCAAGCACUACAGCAAGUUUUUUAAAGACUUUGGUGACAUCAUCAAAGAGACGGUGAGCAAGAGCAGGCUCAUCAACCCCGUGCAGAGCGCCAAGACGUUCUGCCUGUGUUUUCAGGCGUCGGUUCAUUCCGUCCUGCCAUUUAUUCUCAUGCUUUUCAUAUUUGCUUUCAGGGAUGGGAUAAAGUUUGCGUUUCGAGUCCCAGAGGAUGGCAGCAAGCGGCUUCCAAAUGCGGACUUCUUGGAAAUCCUCAGCGAGUUCAGCUUCAAGCUGCUUCAGCAGGAUCGAGUUAUUGUGAUCCAAACUAUUUUCUGUUCAUUAGAAGUUUUAUUUUUGGAGGGAAUUGUGUUUUUUGCUCCAGGUUCAACAUCCAGCACAACCAAAGGGCCGUGGCUGGAGAGCAGCAGCAUCCACAGCCGCAUGCACACUCCUGUGCUCACCUCCACUGUCCAAAAACGGGCAGCACCGCCGCCGCCACCCACACAGGUCAGAGCAGCAGAGUCGGACGCCGGCAGUGGAUUGGCUGAGCUGGAGUCCGAAGACGAGUUCUCCUCAGGGUUAGUUCCAUAG